rnacentral:lncRNA from 1 species
CUUUGAAUUUGCAUCUUGCGAUCUUGUCAUUCAAGAUAUCCGUAGCUGUAGUACUCAGCGGAUUUCAUGUGUCUCAGUUCCCACUUGUAAUGGAUGCACCUAGUGGCCUAAAGUACAGCCCAGGCUGGCAGUUCUUAAAGAGGCAAAGUAUUUCUCCCAAUGCCAGAAAACACCGACUGUUGGACCUGAGGCGCAUCUGGAGACCAUGCAGAAGGACCAUCUCGAGGUCUUCACUAAUGCGGAUCAAGACGACGGAAGCAUUCAUUGAGUCCCACCCUCACUUACUAUCUCAGGAAGGAACUAAAAAUCAAGAAAUUGAAUCCUAGGACACUGCUGCAAAUCUGCCUGGGGAACCAGGAGGAGCCGUGCUACUGAGAACAAGAUCCCUGGAUUGCCUUGUUCAUUUAAUAGCAGAGAAUGUCCAUGGAGAUAACUCUAUUAAAAAGUGACUGCAUUGAGAUUCUGUUCCAGGGAACUUGAAGAAACACUUGGAAACACAUGCAUGUUAGUACAGAAAAAAGUGGAGAUCUGUAUCAUCUGACUGGACAUGUGAAUUCAGGCUCUCAUGUGAGUCAUUUUUGGACCACGAAUGUUGAUGAGAUUACUGAGAAAAAAUAAAAUGAUGGACAAAAAAUACAAAGAAUAAAAAUGUCUAACAUUUUCUUCUUAGGCAAUUUAGUUUGGGAUUUUUUUCUCCAGCUUUAUCUAAUUUUAGAGCAUUUUUCUCACCCCAAAAAGAAAUUGUUAGUGGUCACUGCCUAGUUUGUCCACACCACAGCCCCUGGCAACCACUAAACUACUUUCAGUUUCUGUGGGUUUAUCUAUUCUGGACAUUUCAAGUGAAUGGAAUCAU